rnacentral:rRNA from 1 species
GACAGAGGCCUCAAGCGUUAGGCGGAAUCACUGGGCUUAAAGCGUGUGUAGGUGGAUUCCUAAGUGCCUUGUGAAAUCCCACGGCUCAACCGUGGAACUGCUUGGCAUACUGGGAGUCUUGAGCCAUCUAGGGGCAACUGGAACAGACGGUGGAGCGGUGAAAUGCGUAGAUAUCGUCUGGAACGCCAAUGGUGAAGACAGGUUGCUGGGGAUGUGCUGACACUGAGACACGAAAGCCAGGGGAGCAAACGGG